UACUUGAUCAUAGACAGCUUUGCCUUCCCUC
rnacentral:piRNA from 1 species